UGUCGCAUUUUGUCAUCAAGCUGCGACAAAAACAACUGGCAGGAAAAAAAUAAAGGAAAAGUGGAAACAAACUGCUUUUCAACCCUCCUGGCAAAGCAUUUACAAAAAUCCGACAAAACGAGAAAAUGCGACAAAAUGUCACCCCCAAGUGGGCGAUGCCCAAGUAGCCAUAUCGCUUUCUCUCUCUCUUUUCUCUCUUUCGUCUCUGUCUAAUCCCCUCUGGUUUUCUUUUGGCGACGAUGACUAAAUUAGCAAUUGAUUAAGGGGGUGGGCGAGUGGGUGGCUGGGUGGCUGGGCGAUUCAGCCGGACAAUGACCGCAAUGAGAGCUGUAAUGACAUUAGAUGCUUGGCCGCGUGGACAAUGCGAUUCUUGACUCCCGAUCCCUUGUUUUUCGCGACUCUACACGACAUGCACUGAGAGAAAAGUCUUACUAAUGGCAUCUCUUUGAAUGCGGAGUUUAUACUUUAAAAGGAUUAUUUUUAUGUGUGAAUGUGAGUCUAUCACAACAUUAAAUCAACUAAAAAUGGGAGUUUUCGCGCAGUGUAUGUAUGCCAUCGACUCCUGUGGCGCUUAUCUCUUUAUUCUCGACUUUCUGUCUUCUUCCCGUUGGAUUUUCCCGACUCACGGGUUAUUGAACAGGCGUGCGCAGCGGAAGGCGUUCUACUUAAUGUUUUGGAUGGAAAACGUUUAAAUUCCAUUGGCGCACUUCCGGUCAGCGGAUGUCGUGUGCGCCAGCGGAAACAUUAAGAGAGCAGUCUCCUCCUCCAAAUAAGCCUCCCCUUGCAAGGCAGGGAAUCCCACCCCAUUACAUCCACGACCCCCCGCCAUUGAUGAUGGUCAUCAUCGAUAUGGCGGACACGUGCAAUCCCGAGGGCGCCCAGUGUCUAAUCAUCGGCGGAACUGCCGCCAUUGUCUCAGCCAUAUGUGGGAUAUGCUGGAUGGAUAUAUCCUGAUGAUAUCUUUCAGCAGUCGGGGGCGAAACAGAAGAUAAAUGACUUGGAGUGCUUAGUGCUGCGA